ACAUCUUGUGGCUGUGUCGUGCGCGUGAGCCCCGUAGGGCCGGGGAGGCACCAGCUGCCGCGCGGGGAGGAGGCCGAGGCCGCAGCUUGAGGGAGGCCCCGGCCCCUCUGCGCCUGUGUCUGGCAGAGCUGGUGUGAGACGAGACAAUCCUGCCCCGCCGCCGGGAUAAUCAAGAGUUUUGGCCGGACCUUUGAGCAUACACCGAGAGAGUGAGGAGCCAGACGACAAGCACACACUAUGGCGCUGAAACGGAUUAAUAAGGAACUUAGUGAUUUGGCCCGUGACCCUCCAGCACAAUGUUCUGCAGGUCCAGUUGGGGAUGAUAUGUUUCAUUGGCAAGCCACAAUUAUGGGACCUAAUGACAGCCCAUAUCAAGGCGGUGUAUUCUUUUUGACAAUUCAUUUUCCUACAGACUACCCCUUCAAACCACCUAAGGCAAGUUGCAUUUACAACAAGAAUUUAUCAUCCAAAUAUUAACAGUAAUGGCAGCAUUUGUCUCGAUAUUCUAAGAUCACAGUGGUCGCCUGCUUUAACAAUUUCUAAAGUUCUUUUAUCCAUUUGUUCACUGCUAUGUGAUCCAAACCCAGAUGACCCCCUAGUGCCAGAGAUUGCACGGAUCUAUAAAACAGACAGAGAUAAGUACAACAGAAUAUCUCGGGAAUGGACUCAGAAGUAUGCCAUGUGAUGCUACCUUAAAGUCAGAAUAACCUGCAUUAUAGCUGGAAUAAACUUUAAAUUACUGUUCCUUUUUUGAUUUUCUUAUCCGGCUGCUCCCCUAUCAGACCUCAUCUUUUUUAAUUUUAUUUUUUGUUUACCUCCCUCCAUUCAUUCACAUGCUCAUCUGAGAAGACUUAAGUUCUUCCAGCUUUGGACAAUAACUGCUUUUAGAAACUGUAAAGUAGUUACAAGAGAACAGUUGCCCAAGACUCAGAAUUUUUAAAAAAAAAAAUGGAGCAUGUGUAUUAUGUGGCCAAUGUCUUCACUCUAACUUGGUUAUGAGACUAAAACCAUUCCUCACUGCUCUAACAUGCUGAAGAAAUCAUCUGAGGGGGAGGGAGAUGGAUGCUCAGUUGUCACAUCAAAGGAUACAGCAUUAUUCUAGCAGCAUCCAUUCUUGUUUAAGCCUUCCACUGUUAGAGAUUUGAGGUUACAUGAUAUGCUUUAUGCUCAUAACUGAUGUGGCUGGAGAAUUGGUAUUGAAUUUAUAGCAUCAGCAGAACAGAAAAUGUGAUGUAUUUUAUGCAUGUCAAUAAAGGAAUGACCUGUUCUUGUUCUACAGAGAAUGGAAAUUGGAAGUCAAACACCCUUUGUAUUCCAAAAUAGGGUCUCAAACAUUUUGUAAUUUUCAUUUAAAUUGUUAGGAGGCUUGGAGCUAUUAGUUAAUCUAUCUUCCAAUACACUGUUUAAUAUAGCACUGAAUAAAUGAUGCAAGUUGUCAAUGGAUGAGUGAUCAACUAAUAGCUCUGCUAGUAAUUGAUUUAUUUUUCUUCAAUAAAGUUGCAUAAACCAAUGAGUUAGCUGCCUGGAUUAAUCAGUAUGGGAAACAAUCUUUUGUAAAUGCAAAGCUGUUUUUUGUAUAUACUGUUGGGAUUUGCUUCAUUGUUUGACAUCAAAUGAUGAUGUAAAGUUCGAAAGAGUGAAUAUUUUGCCAUGUUCAGUUAAAGUGCACAGUCUGUUACAGGUUGACACAUUGCUUGACCUGAUUUAUGCAGAAUUAAUAAGCUAUUUGGAUAGUGUAGCUUUAAUGUGCUGCACAUGAUACUGGCAGCCCUAGAGUUCAUAGAUGGACUUUUGGGACCCAGCAGUUUUGAAAUGUGUUUAUGGAGUUUAAGAAAUUUAUUUUCCAGGUGCAGCCCCUGUCUAACUGAAAUUUCUCUUCACCUUGUACACUUGAC
rnacentral:lncRNA from 1 species